CGCGUAGGCGGUUUGUUAAGUCAGCUGUGAAAGCCCCGGGCUCAACCUGGGAACUGCAGUUGAUACUGGCCGACUAGAGUACGAGAGAGGGAGGUAGAAUUCCAUGUGUAGCGGUGAAAUGCGUAGAUAUAUGGAGGAAUACCGGUGGCGAAGGCGGCCUCCUGGCUCGAUACUGACGCUGAGGUGCGAAAGCGUGGGAUCAAACA
rnacentral:rRNA from 1 species